UACAUAUGGAUGAUGCAACCAACUACCCAAGUGUCAUGCCAAUGAAAACACCAAAUAAACUUUGAACAGUGAAGAUAGGAAGAGCA